AGAGGAGCUCCAAGUAUGAGAAA
rnacentral:miRNA from 1 species